UAGGGAAUCUUCCACAAUGGGCGAAAGCCUGAUGGAGCAACGCCGCGUGUGUGAUGAAGGGUUUCGGCUCGUAAAACACUGUUGUAAGAGAAGAAUGACAUUGAGAGUAACUGUUCAAUGUGUGACGGUAUCCUACCAGAAAGGAACGGCUAAAUACGUACCAG
rnacentral:rRNA from 1 species